AUGUGUCUAACACUUGCUGUGCGCCUUCGGGCUGCACGCUAGUGAUUACACCUUUCCACACCUGUGCACCUUUUCGGUGAGAGGGUAACACCUCUCAUCUGUAUCACACACGUCGUUAAAGUCAUUGUAUGUGAUGUUGUAAUAAACAAUA
rnacentral:misc_RNA from 1 species